GUGCACAUGGAGACGCUGAUGGAUGAAAACACCUUGAAACGACGCGAUGACCGCUCUCAGGUUCCUCUCUGAUACUAACAUAAAAGGCCACAAGACAGUGCAUAAAGAUUGUUAGAUUGGAUAUGGCAAUUCUAGCUGCUAAGGUUGCGUAAUCUGGAUGCUGGUUGAUCAUAGUUGCCGCAGUUUCAGCUGCCAAAUUAUCCAAUUCGAUAGUUGUUACUCCAGAACGUAAAUUGGUUAUAACCCGAAGCGCGAUCGCAGACUGUAAAAGAAAAAUACAAUGUAUUUUUUCUUAACUGACGAUUUUAUAUGAGUCACAGUUAACCCGACUUUUGAAGGAUACUUAAUUAAAUGCAAAGAUAAGUGAAAAAAA